UUAAAGCAAGAGAACAUGAUAAUUGUAGUAUAAACGGCUCAUGACACACCCUGAUCCGGAAUGUCCACUAGGACUCCGAAUCGAGUUGUGCUGGUCAACACCUGAAAGGUGACGAAGCCAUAAAGUAUAGUGAUGUGGAAAUGUGAAUAAAUUUAAACCUAAUAAUUUCUAAAGACAAGAGUGCGCUGUGAGCGAGAAUGAACUCAUUUCACACUCGAAGUCAGAGCAUAAAUAUAGUACAGUAGUGGGUAAGGAUCAUGCCCUCAGAGGUAGCCACCUAUACUGAGAUUCACCAAGAAUCCUCGUCGAUACGAACUUUUAGCAUCUAAAACCUGGAGGAGCGAAAAACAAGAGUGAGUGGGCAAAAACAAAACGUUUGAAAACUAUUUAUCUUUAUGAACAUAAUAACCCCUUUCCGUAAAACCCGUAUAGUUUCUAGAAAAUAAUAAUACAUACGUAUAUAGAAAUCAUGCUCGAAAGUAGUGAAAACCAAGUAUAUGCUAUGUCAAGUAUCUCAACAAUGAAAUAAGUAAGCCAGGUGAAAUAAAUCAAUAUAAAAUUAUAUGUCAGCCGAAGUCACCUAAUGUGACAUGUACAACUGAGCCUAUAGCUCAUCUACCAAUUCCUGCACACAAGUCGGAACCACCUAAUGUGGUAUGUACGAUAGGCUAUGUGUAAAUAGAUACGCUUAAGUGCUACAAUCACGUAAAGACUCUGCAAAGUAUCGCAACUCACCUACAAGUCGGAAGCACCUAAUGUGGUAUGUACGACAAGCUGGCACCUACCUUGGAUCCAAGGUGAGCAUGUGGUGCGGGAGGUGAACGAUCACGUGAAGGCUAAGCCCUAGCCUCGGGGGGAGCACUAACACCGGGGUGCAGGAUAAUGAGUACUAAAUGCAUCUAAACAAAACCAUACCCAUUGCAAUCACUAUCAUCAAUAUAUACUCACCUGAAACUUACCUGGGCAUCCGCUGCGUCAUGCAAUAAUAUGUGUAUCUAUACUAACGCAUAUGCUAAAAUGUAAUGCAAUUGACAUGGUAUUUGAAAAAAAAACCGUAAAUCCAUUUAAAACAAUUUCUGGAAAAUGUAAAGCAUAUAUACAUGUGUGUGUGUAUAUAUAUAUAUAUAUACCCAUUGCAAUCACUAUCAUCAAUAUAUACUCACCUGAAACUUACUUGGGCAUCCGCUGUGUCAUGCAAUAAGAUGUGUAUCUAUACUAACGCAUAUGCUAAAAUGUAAUGCAAUUUCUGGAACAUGUAAAGCAUAUAUAUAUAUAUAUAGAAAACCAAAAAAACCCACUCAUAGAACAUGACGUUGGGUCGAACCCGCCUCGCGGCUUCGAAAAUCCUUGCAAUGUGUUUCACCUAGAAACAAAACCAUUAUGUACUUAUGUAUAACGUGCUAAAGUAUAAACGAGUUUUCUAGAUUUUAUUGCGUGUUUUUCCCUUAACUUUAGGAGCUCAUUUCAAGCUCAAUUUUCAACCAAAUUCAACGAUUCAAAAGCCAACUAGAAGUUAGAAAUGUGGGAAACAUGUUCGUACUAGUUUGAAAUCAAAUAAUGGCCGGAGUUGACCGGGAAAAUGGUCUGAAAGUGGCCAAAUGGCCACGGGUCCAAGUUUUCCAGAAUCUAGGAAAUUUCGUCCCAAAUUUCAGAGCUAAUUUCUAGCUCAAUUCUCAAUCAAAUUUGAUGAUUGAGCCAUAUUAAAGCUAGAAAUGUAGAGAACAAGUCCAUACCAAAUUGAAGCCGAGUUUAUGUCGGAGUUGGCCAAAAAAAUGGCCUAAAGAUGGCCAACUGGUCAUGACCAAAAUUUCCAUAAUCUAAAAAGAUUUCAACCCAACUUUGAAGGCUAAUUUCUAGUUCACUACUUAACCAAACUCGAUGAUUCAAAAACUAACUUGAAGCUAGAAAUGUAGUGAAUACCAGUUUCGAGGGCCAACCAUCACCGAGAUGGCCGGAAAAUCCUCUCAAAGGGCUAAAUAGUCACGGUCCAAGCUUCCAAAAUUUCUAGGGAAGUCCUCCCUUCGUCCCCGCAUCUUCUAAACCCUAUCCAAAACACGUCUAAGCCCUGAGAUCGUUCACUAGAAAUGAAAAAGAAUAAGGGAGAGAGAGAUCCUAAUGCCUACCUUGGUCGGGUUUCAUUGAAGUCGCCGGAAUCUCAACUUUUAAAACUGAAUUCCUUUUGAGCUCCAAGGCACAGUUCUCAUAACCCAAACUUGGGGUUAAGUUCAUAAAGGUGAGAUGAUUGUAGCAUGGUGCUGUAAUGGUCUGGGUCUCGUAUGUACGGAAGUUGUCAUGUGUGGUGGUGUCUCGGUGGUGACUAACCCAGAGAGAGAUAGUGAGUUUGAAAUGAGAGGUGAGGGCAGUGAGAGUUAAAAGAGAGGGAAAGAUCCAGGGGAUAGGGAACUCGGGAAAAUGGGGGAGAAUGGGUUGAUGCGGUAGUUCCUGGCCUGUAUUUUUGGCCUCUCUGUUUACAGAGAAGAAGAUAAGGAGGCAGAGAGAGAUGAGAGGGUUCUCGAAUGAGAGACCAC
rnacentral:lncRNA from 1 species